rnacentral:siRNA from 1 species
GGUAGGACUCGUGCUGAUAACGUG